rnacentral:lncRNA from 1 species
CACUUUGCUCUUGGGGAGACUCGAACUCACAACCUCCCGGUUGGAAGUGGGGAUUGCUUACCAUCAGAGCAACCCCUCGGAGCCCAUUUCACCUUAAAUAAGAUCAUCAUGUCGGUGCUACGUCAUAAGUUAAAGCGUCUAACAAUGUCAUAGAAAAUGGUCGAACUUUGUAAUUUGGGCUAUUAAUGUAAACCUCAGAGAGGAUAGGUGGGAGGGGACUGGAUAUUUUUGCACAGAUACGUGGUUGAUCUGUUCUCGUUAAUGUAGUGCUUUUGUAAAUCUUCUUUUGUUUUAGCAAUGAGAUGACAGUUUGCUUCGCCAAAUAUGGUUAUGGUUCGAGAAUUCCUUUCCCCAACUCCCUCCCUCUGCCACACCACCUCGAAGAGUAACACUACGUUUUCAUGUUCCAAUUGAACUGUCAGUACAAUAAUUGGCUAUUCAUGGCCCAACUAGGCCUACCCUAUCUUUGUUUUUCUUUUUUAUCAAUAUAAAAUGUGGUUCAUGUUUGAGUUGCUUUUUGAAGAGCACUGUGUGAUAAAUAGUUGUAACCGAGGCAUGACUGUCACGACAUUUGAGAAAUACUAUCUCCGCAGUUACUGUGAGUUGGAUGAAUGAUGAAUCAUUCUCUAUAU